AACCGGGGCCGGCGGCGCGCGCGGGCCGGGAGCUGAGGGGAGAGCGGAGCGGGGCCGGGGGCGCUGCCUGCGGGAAGGCGCCUGGAGCGGGUCCCGGCCCGUGCCCGCCUUCGGAGCCGCCUUCGGAGCCGCCUUCCGAGCCGCCUUCCGAGCCGCCUUCGGAGCCGCCUUCCGAGCCGCCUUCCCACCGGCCCUGCCGGGAGGCGGGGCCACGGGACGGGGAGGGCGGUGUGAAAUCGUGCGGCUGUAGGCAUUCUACUUAGAGGAGCACGUGGAAUACAGUAUUAAAAGAAGCAGUAGAGCAGCUUGACCUAUAACAGAACGAUGGUUCAACUAACAAUGGACCUAAUCGCUAAAAACACCAGUCACAAGAAUUGUAGUGAAGAGGAUUUUAGACAAUAUGUGCAAAAAUUAACUCAUCUGAAUUUUUCGGAUAAAAAUAUAGAUUCAAUAGGUGACCUCUCUUUCUGUAAAAAUCUGAGAGUUCUGUAUUUAUAUGAUAACAAAAUCAACCAAAUCCAGAACUUGGACUUUGCUUCAAAUAUAACACACCUUUACCUUCAGAACAAUCGUAUUUCAAGUAUAGAAAAUCUCUCAUCACUGAAAAAACUUGAAAAACUGUAUUUAGGAGGCAACUAUAUCACUGUAGUAGAGGGUUUGGAUAAAGUAGGAGAACUGAGGGAGCUACAUAUUGAAAGUCAACAUCUCCCUCUUGGUGAAAAGCUUCUGUUUGAUCCAGUAUCUCUUAACUCCCUGGCAAAAUCUUUGUCUGUAUUGAAUAUCAGCAAUAACAACAUUGAUGAAUUAGAAGAACUGGCAGUUUUGAGAAAUCUUUCUUAUCUUAAAGCAGUUGACAAUCAACUUAAACAUAUGAAGGAUUUGGAGGUUGUAUUAAAAAAAUGGACAAAGCUAUGCAGAAUAGAUCUUACAGGAAACCCCAUCUGCCAACAACCAAAGUACAAGGAUUGGAUUAUAUUACAUUCACUGACUUUAGAAUUUCUGGAUGGGAAAGAAAUUCAAGAAAUGAAAAGAUGUUUCUUAAGGAAUUGGAAAGCCUCCAGACUUGCCAGGAACAAAAUUGACUGUAGAAGACCUUAUUUCACAUUUCCUCUUCAAUCCAGUCACUCUGUGAAAAUAAAAUCAGAUUUUUUAGAUUUGGUUCACAAGCAGAAAGUUGAAAGAAAACCUCUGCCAAGAAUCUGUGAAAGAAGAAGUCAGGUGAAAACUCAGAAAGGAUUCAGCACUGCUCACUUGGGCUGGAGGCAGCCCUGGAAACCUUUGGGGCAAAAAGAAAACAUGGCUUAGCAGGGCUGCCUGGAGGUUACUCCACUGUCCUCCAGAGAACCAGUGUCUUCAUUCUCUUGCACCCUGGAGGCCAAAGGAUGAUCUGUGGUGCCGGUGAAGUCCAUCAUCGCGCCCGUGUACAUACUGACAAGAGUAGCUUUUGCCAGAGUGGCUCCCCACGGCUGAAGGGAAACCCCCACCGAGGCUGUGUCAGCAGCAGGCAAAGGCCCAGGAUUUUAUCUCAUAUAGAUGUGAAGCUCCUAAACCAGAAACUCCUAUUUCCAAGGGCACCCAAGGAGAUGAUGUUUUUAGCCAGGCUGUCACAGGAACAGACACUUCUAACACUUGAAAGCCAGGAUCUGGGACACCCACGAGGGCUACUUGGCUGAGGACAACAGGAUCAGGGCCCUCCGUGCCGGGCACGUCACCGAUGGA